CCUGAUCAAGCCUAAUUCAGUUUCAUUCUCAAAAUGCACUUGUAAAAUCCCUGUUAUUUUCUAUGGUCUUUGGAUGUUUCUUAAAUCAGAAAGCUAGAGUUUAUAAACCAGGUUUUGAGAGAAAUAUUGGAAUUUGAUCCCUUUGCCUUUCCACAUUUAGAAAGUUCCCUGGCUUCUAUAUCACUGUAAGUUCUCUUUCAAGGUAGCUGACACCUGUGUGGUUUUUGUGGGAGUUGGGGUUCUUCUGGUUGCAAGAAACCAAAACCUCUGGGGCCAGGUUUAAGCAGGAGAUAAUUUAAAUUAAAUGUACGGUGCCUUACGGUAGCCAAGCGCAGCCAUGCAGCCAGGCCUCAGGAAGGCCCUAGAAACUGGACCUGGGUGGUUAUCCAGGGUGCCAUGUGGGCCAUCUUGAGGUCAUCGUGAGGUCUUCCUUUGUAUUGAGCUAAAAUCAUGAGUCCUGUCAUAGUGUUAUGCAAUCUCCUGUGUGGCUUCAUAAGACAGGUAUAUCCCUGGUCUAAGUUUCAGUUCUGUCUGUUAGUUAAAUCUCUGUGGUCAAGGGGGAAUCACCCACCGUCUUUGACUGCUCCUCAAAUCCUCUUGUAUAGAAAGGUGAUGUAAAUAGCUUCCUGUCAGAAGUGUUGAGGAGCCAGAAACAGUGUCCAACCUCUGUCUGGCACAGAAGAGAGGCUCAGAAGGGAAGAUAAUAAUUAUACUCCUGGCCCUGGGUCUCCCACUUGGAGACCCCCUUCUCUCUUUGGUGUUAAAGUCCUUUAACAAUGAGAUGACAGGUAAAUAGACCUUCCCCUCUGGCCAGUUUCCAGGGAAUGAAUACCAGGGCAGGGUCUCCACCUGUUGGGUAUGGUUAUUGAAAAGACAUGACUGCCAACUGACCUGUGACUGGACCCAGCCACCUGGAAGCUCCUCACUACCUCCUUUGUCUUUGGAAUGUGGAUUCCACUGGCAUUCCGGCUCCCAGAGGUGGAGAGACACCACCUGGAGAUGGUGAUGGGGUGUUGAGAACACCAGUGCGGUACACGUGGCUGAACCCGGUUAGGGCCACUUUAUCAACUUUUAAGAUUUGGUGUUAGGGUGCAUGGACCCAUUUAUAUGCAAGUUCUCUUGCUUAUUACUAAACCCACCACCUACCAGCUGAAGGCUCACUCAAGAGCUUUCUGCACAGUACACUGUGUGGGGACAGAAGCUAGAAACCAGUCAGGAGGCUAUUGUAAUAACCCACGUGAGAAAUGAUGGGGACUUGGAUCAGUAUGGAAGACCCGAAAUGGAGACAAAGUGGUAAGAUUCUCUAUAUUCUGAAGGUUCAGCCAAUGGGAUUUCCUUCAUGCAUUAUUUUCCUAUUGAUAUUACAAAAUAGGAUGAGCUCAGUGGCUAAAAGGACACAAAAAGUUAUAGUUCUAAAGAUCAGAAGUCUAGAAUGGGGCAGCAGAGCUGUGUUGUUUUUGUAGAGUCUAGAAGAAAAUUCAUGUUCUUGUCUCUUUUUUUAAAGAUUUUAUUUAUUUAUUCAUGAGAGACAGAGAGAAGCAGGCAGAGACAUAGGCAGAGGGAGAAGCAGGCUCCAUGCAGGGGGCCCGAUGUGGGACUCAAUCCCAGGACCGUGGGAUCACGCCCUGAGCUAAAGACAGAUGCUCAACCGCUGAACCACCCAGGCGUCCCUGAUCUUGCCUUUUCUUCAGGUUCUAGAAGCUACUGCAUUCCUUGGCUCAUGGCCCCACAUCACUCCAAUCCCUGCUUCCACCAUCACAUCUCCUUCUCUGACUCUGACCCUUCUGCCUCUCUCUUAUAAAGACCUUUAUGAUUACGUUGGACCCACCAGAAUAUUCCAGAGGAAUCUACCCAUCUCUAGGUUCUUAUCUUAAUCACAUUUGCAAAGAUAACAUACUCACAGGUUCCGGGUUUUAGCAUAUGGAAAUCUUUGUAGGGGAGGGCGCAUUAUUGUAUCUACCAUACUUAAAGAAAGAGAGAGGACAAGGCUGAUUCUGAGGCUGGUCUGCGUAGUCACAGGGAUGGAGCCACCUCUUACCUAAAGACUGAGAGGAGCAGGUUGGGGAGAGGGCAUUAUCAGGAGCUCACUUUGGGGCAGUUUAGGCUCAAGAGACCACUUAGGCUUGCAAGUAAAGCCAUCCAGGAGGCAGUUGGGUAGAGAAUCUGGAGUUUAGGGAAGAAGGCUGGAGGCAUACAUGUGGGAGAUGUAGGUCUAGAUAGAAUGUAAAGUCAUGAGGCUGUCCAGAUCCCCUUUGGAGUGAGGGGAGGGGUAUGAGCUCAGACAUUAGUCAGCGGUGGUGCCUGGGAAGGUGGGCAGGGGUGGUGUCCUGGAAACUGGAGACAGAGAGCUUCACGGAGGACAGAGGGGUCUUCCAAGUCCAAUGCUGCCAGAAGGUCAGCUUCGAGGAGGAUUGGGAACUGAGUUUCGGAUUUCACAUCUUGGAAGUCAUUACUGGUCUUGGCAAGAGAAAUUUUGGAGAAAUGGUGGGAGAGAAAUGCCUAAUUGGGGAAAGAAGAAUUGACUUCAAUGAGUCUGUCUAAGUAACUGUAAAAAAGAGGCUGUGCUAUAAGGGGUGGACAGAGGAAUGGGAUAGAAGCUGGAAGAAAUCAGAGUAAAGAAAGGGAUUUGCUUGUAUUUAUGACGGGGGGAGAAAUCCAGGUCUGUGUGCUAAUGGAGAUGACCCAGUAGACAAAGAGAGCUUGAUGACUGGGCUGAGGAGGGGGAUUUCUGGAGCCAUCUCUGUGCAUAUGGGAGGAAGGGCACUGGUACAAGAGUGGAGAGGUGGGUCCAGAUGGGAGAAUGGGAUCUAUUUAUUGCCCUUGAGAGUAGGUAGCAAGCUCAGUACAGGUGCAGGUGGGGAUGGUGAAAGUUCCCUGCGGUUGCUCCCGUCUUCGCAGUGAAAUAGGAAGUGACACCAUCAUCUGAGGGUGAGGAUGAGGAGUGUGGCAUUGAGAGUUUAAAGGCAAGAGAAGAAAAUUUGAAGUAGUCUUCCAGGAAUGCGGAAGAGUGACUACACUAGGGAAAGCUUGGAAGAUCAAAAGAGCCAAGUCUUUAUCAACCAUCGAAAAUAUUCUGUUUUCUCAAAAAUCUUCUGUAACUCUGUUACCUAUUAACGAUGUCUUAUUGAGAGUGAUGUGAUUAAAAUGCUUCAUCCUUUUGGGAAAUCAUAAUGAGCCACAUGGUGGGUAUUAUGUACUCCGCUUACUAAAUCAGGAUAUUCAUGUUUGAAUCCCAUCUGCCAAACAUGCCAGGGCUUGUUAUUAUUUAUUAUUACUAUUACGUGAUGCAAUUAGUAAUUUUCCGUGCUCCUUGAUGUCAGUGAGUUGCUCUUGCAAAUUAAUUGGAAGUUACUCAUUUUUAUAUGUUUCACAAAUGCAUUUUGAAAUGCACAGAAUCCCUUGGAAGCUUUUUAACAGGUUAGGAAAUGGUGUUUCCAAGUUUUAAAGUGUGAGCUGUGAGAGCUCUG